CACAAGGGAUUUCCUUUGUAACGGCGAGUGACAAGGAAAAAGCUCAAUGCUGAAUCUGCUUUUGCAGAGGUGUAGCAUGCAAGCUUGAAUGCUGUGUUGGCCUGUCUCAUGAGUUUUUCUUGAAUGAGAUAUCAUAGAGGGUGAGAAUCCUUUAUUGAUGAUGGGCUUUCACAGAUUUGAGCAAGAGUGAGUAAGUCUGCUUGAAAAUGCAGGCUGAACUGGUGGUAAGUUCCACCAAAAGCUAAAUAUGCACCUGAGUCUGAUAGUCAACAAGUACCGUGAGGGAAAGUUGAAAAGAACUUUGAAGAGAGGGUUAAAAGUACGUGAAACCAUCAUGAAGUUUAACGAGGCUAAUUGAUCUUUCUGCAUUUGGCAUGGCUGGCAAGCAAUUGCUAGUUUUUGCUGGUGCAGUGGUUGCUUGUGCUGUUGUUGAUAGCAUUAAGUGUUCUGCUUGACUCUGCUACGCUUUUUCUUCGGAAAGGUGUAGAGCAGUUAUACUGUGCUACAUGUGACGACAAUGUAUCUGCUUUGUGCAGUUGUGGUAAGCAACUUAUCAGUUGGCUUUACCCGUCUUGAAACACGGACCAAGGAGUUUAAAGCUCAUACAAGUCUAAGGGUGUCAAAACCUAAAGGCGUAAUGAAAGUGAACUAUGCAUGAUGCUGUGCCUCACGGUGUGGCUGCAAUGUAAGCCUGUCAUUGCCAGGAUGAUGGAGCUAGAGUAUGAGCAUUAAGACCCGAAAGAUGGUGAACUAUGCAUGAGUAGGGUGAAGCCAGGGGAAACUCUGGUGGAAGCCUGUUGCAAUUCUGACGUGCAAAUCGAUUGUCAAACUUGUGUAUAGGGGCGAAAGACUAAUCGAACCAUCUA
rnacentral:rRNA from 1 species